UGACAUAUCCUACUUGGUUUAGUUAUGAUAACUCAGUCAGCAAUUCAUUUACUUAUGCACUCAUUUAUUCACCUAAUGUCUAUUGAUUAUUUAGAAUGCACCAGGCACUUGAUCCAGCUGUCCAGAAUACAAGAUAUACUCCUGAAGUCUGACUUUCAUUCAUUAACAACCACAUGGAUGAAGAAAGCAUAAAAAAAGAAACCAUUAAAAGAUAGCUGGAUUAUAACCUAGCUCCCAUUUGCACAGAGAGCUGUGGAAGUCAGCAGGAAGUGGAGGAUCACAUCUCACCCUGCAAGUGCGAGCUAUGCAGAGUGCUGUUCUGCUGAGGAAUGCGUAUGGAAAGGUGAGGAAAGCAACCACACAGCGGAUAAAGUUGAGAAACACUACCUCAGCCCUGUGGCCAAGGUCAGCAUCAACAGCGACACAUUAUGUUGGUGGUAUAUACUCACAUGAUGUGGUCAUGUGAUGUGGUGAUGAGAAGAGCAUUUCCUCCUCAAAGCCCAUAACCCCAUUCUAAUAAUGAGAAAACUAUCAGCAAACCCCAAAUUGAGGCACAGAGUGCAAAGUGCCUGGCCGGUACUCCUCAGAACUGUCAAGGUCACCAAAAACAUGGACAGACCCAGCAACUGCCACAGCCCAGAGGAGCCUAAGACGAGAUGAAUAAAUGUCAUAUAGUCUCCUGAAUACCAUCCAUGAGCAGAAAAAGGACAUUGGGUGAAAACCAAGGACAUCUGAAUAAGGAGCAGCCCGUACCUUCUUCCUUUGAGCUGUGUGCUCUGAAGAUCUGCACUACGCUCAAGCUGUGCUGCAUAGAUGAGCCCGCUGAAACAUGCCUUGUAGCCUCAACUCGUCUUCUCGUCUCCUGGAUGAAGAUAACUGGACUUCUGCACAUGGGUGUUGAGAUGCUGGCUUCAGAGUUUCUAAGAAUAUGGUAUUUUUUCCACGGGAAAGCAUAUAUUAAGACUAGGAAACCAAGACAUGGAA
rnacentral:lncRNA from 1 species